AUUGAACGCUGGCGGCAUGCCUUACACAUGCAAGUCGAACGGCAGCGGACCUUCGGGUGCCGGCGAGUGGCGAACGGGUGAGUAAUAUAUCGGAACGUACCUUUCAGUGGGGGAUAACGUAGCGAAAGUUACGCUAAUACCGCAUAUUCUGUGAGCAGGAAAGCAGGGGAUCGCAAGACCUUGCGCUGAUUGAGCGGCCGAUAUCAGAUUAGCUAGUUGGUGAGGUAAAGGCUCACCAAGGCGACGAUCUGUAGCGGGUCUGAGAGGAUGAUCCGCCACACUGGAACUGAGACACGGUCCAGACUCCUACGGGAGGCAGCAGUGGGGAAUUUUGGACAAUGGGCGCAAGCCUGAUCCAGCCAUGCCGCGUGAGUGAAGAAGGCCUCGGUUGUAAGUAC
rnacentral:rRNA from 1 species